GUUUCUCUGUACCCAAAUCGGGCUGGUUGGACCAAGACCCAGAGAGGCAGAGUGGUUGUCCCAGCUAUAGUUACUAAACUACUCACCCAAAGUUGGGACCUCACUGGCUUCUCUUUACUUCAUCAUGGAUUUCACCAUCCCAAGGCAGUCUGAGAGGAGCUAAAGAGUAUCAGCCCAUAUUUAUUAAGCACUUUAUGCUCCUUGGCACAGCAGGUGAUGUGUAAUUUAUGCAAGCUCCCUCUCCAGCUAGGACUCAGGAUAUUAGUCAAUGAGCCAUCAAAAGGAAAAAAAAAAAACCAUCUUAUUUUCAUCUGUUUCAUACCUUGUCUGGGGUCUAAUGACGAUGGCAACAGGGUAGACAUGGGAAGACAGGGUAGAAAAGGGUGCCCGCUCUUUGGGGUCUAGAGAUGAGCCCUGGGUCUCUAAAAUGGCUCUCUUAGAAGUUGUAUGUGCAAAUUAUGGUCUGUGUGCUUAGGUCGUGCACACCUGCCGGAGCCGGUCACAGCUGGGCAGACGAUGAAUAGCUGCUUUGGGAGAGCAGAGCAUGCUAGCCACUUAAUUCUCUGACCGGGCCAGCAUCAUGGGUACCUGCUCCCCUGUGUACCCCAUCCUUAAGGUUUUCUGUCUGAUGAGACUGGAGGCCCAGUGCAAUCCCCACUGAGACAGCCUGCAGCCCACUGUGGCUCUUGGUGCACUCACCAGCCAGGACUAGACAAGUAGGAAAGGGCUUCUAGCCACACUGGAGAAAAAGAAAAUCAGGUAGGGCUGGCCAAAGACAUCUUUGUCCAUUCGCAAAAGCUCUUGUCGGCUGCAGUGUGUAAGUCAGGCGAUGAGACAGAGGCUACCAGAGAAACGGAUGAGAACAGCAGCCUGAGGUUUCUCAUCCAGAUAUCCAGCAAUUGGGGGGUGGGGGAAGACCAUAGAUGGUCCUGUAUUAUUCCGAUUUUAAUAAUCUAAUUCGUGAUCAUUAAGAGACUUUAGUAAAUGUCCCUUUCCCACAAAAGUAAAGAAAAGCUAUCGGGAUUCUCUGGUUCUGCUUAAAGACUUAGCUUUGGAGCCUAUGAAAGUUGAUCAGCCAGGAAAAAAAAAAAAAAAGGAAAGAAAGGAAAGAAAGAAAAAAAGAAGGAAGACGGUUCCUUCUGAGUUUUUAGGGUAGGAAGAAAAAUGGAAACUUCUAACGACAGACAUACCUAGGUGCACUGGGCCUGAUCACCAAGAACAUGAUUGGAUGCUAAGAGCCUGGACAGUGGCAUUCAAACCGUUUGCCAUUCAAGGCCCAAGUAGAUGGCACUGAGGAAGAACAGACAUUUCUCCCAGUGUGUGAGAUCGCCAGUGUGUGACUAGGGAGCUGAAGGUCAGGCAAGUCUGCAUUAGCCUGAGAUGGACUGUCAGGGGGCAGUGCUGUUCAAAGCCUGUUGCACGGGACUCAGUGCAGGGAGAGGGCAGGGCACCCUUGACCCACGGUGGCAGGAACUGUACGUGUUUGUGUGUGUGUAUCUGUAUGUUUUGUGCAUAACUAUUUAAAGAAACUGGAAUUUUGAAGUUACUUUUAUAUGAGUCAAGAUUAUAUGCUACAGACAGAACUAAGACAUGGUCUGGCCUCACCUUUCUAGUCAUGAUGAAUGUAUUUCACAUAUUAUCUUCAUUUAAUAAAAUUAACUUUCAAAACC
rnacentral:lncRNA from 1 species